rnacentral:lncRNA from 1 species
ACGUUUGUCGCGCUGCUUUCCUCUCUCAGGUAAUUUGUUCAAUCUCUUUUUCUUCUUCUUCCUCUCUCUCUCUCUCUCUUUCUACUACUGAUUUGGAAAGCUUUCUUCAAUUGAAACACUUCUAAGUUCUAAUCGAGGUCUUGAGACUAUUAACAGGUUUCUCUUUACUUCAAAUUCCUCUAUUUCCUUUAACUUCGAUGCUAGUAUACAAUAAUCAAUUUAAUUCUAUGUGAUUUUGUUUCGAUUGUUAAUUUACAUGCUUUCAUUGCUUGUGGAUCUGUUUUACUAUUGAUAUUUAUUAUGCUGCACUUGUGUAUUACUUGUUUCUCGUUGAUUGCAUAGCAAUUGAAAGCAAGCAGCUUUAUUUAUCUGUUUUGCGCAUUAUUGGCUAAGAACUGAGUUAUAUAAACACAUAUUCUAUCUCCAUGGUCAUAUAAUAACAAUUUCUUAUCAAGUAAUUUAUUAUUUAUAUGAAUUAUAGGACCUUUAGUUGUCUAAUAACCCUGAAUCCGUUGGUAUGCUUGAUUUUUUAGGGUAACUCUUAAGCCAAUUUUAUGUCUGUCACAUAUUUCUAAGACUUUCAUGGAUGCCAUGAAUUAGGGUUGUGUGUCUGUUGAUUAUGUCAAUUUGAUUUACUGGUAGCUGUUUUUUGUGGCUUUCAAUAUUUGCACCAGUAUAUAGAUUUUUUUUAGCUUACAUGUCGGGGGGGAAGUAUUUCAGUCUAUAUAUUACUUGUCUGUGAUUCAAUUCAUUUAUUUUCCACAUGCUUAUUUUGUUAUUGUUUAUUCCUUUGGGUUCUGGAAAAAAAAAAUUGUUUUGUUUUUGGUUUUAUCACUUUAUGUAAUGAUAACUAUGUUAAGUUUUUUUUUUUUUUUUUGGUCUUUCGCAUUCCUAGUUUAUUUUCACAGUGUUUUUGGAUUUCUAUGAGAAAUAUCUAUUAUUAUUUAUUGCUUUAUUGUUGUGCAUAUGUACGAUUGUUAUUGUCCUUUCGGGAACGCUAGAUAAAGGCUUGUGAAUAUGUCACACAUGUUGGGGAAUGAAUUAGAACAAGACCUGCAGGAAGUAAAGGCGCUUAAGAUAGAAUGAAGGUCUGUAAGUGGAAGGGAUCAUAGAUGUCCACUUACUUUAGACCUGGCAUAUGUAGCCUUACGAGUGGAGCCAAAAGAAAUAGUGGUGCUUGGACACUAGAUAACUACUUGAACGCCUUUGAAACCUGUAGGUUACAUGUUCUAGUGUCCCUAGUAAUGUGUUGACCGGCACAAGUGCCAUCUGUUAUCCCAAGGACAUGAGACGUCAGACUUUAUAGUACUUUGUUAUUGUUUAUUCCUUUGGGUUCUGGGAAAAAAAAUAUUGUUCUUGUUUUUGGUUUUAUCACUUUAUAUAAUGGUAACUAUGCUAAGGUUUUUUUUUUUUUUUUUUGGUCUUUCGCAUUCCUAGUUUAUUUUCACAGUGUUUUUGGAUUUCUAUGAGAAAUAUCUAUUAUUAUUUAUUGCUUUAUUGUUGUGCUUAUGUACGAUUGUUAUUGUCCUUUCGGGAACACUAGAUAAAGGCUUGUGAAUAUGUCACACAUGUUGGGGAAUGAAUUAGAACAAGACCUGCAGGAAGUAAAGGCGCUUAAGAUAGAAUGAAGGUCUGUAAGUGGAAGGGAUCAUAGAUCUCCACUUACUUUAGACCUGGCAUAUGUAGCCUUACGAAUGGAGCCAAAAGAAAUAGUGGUGCUUGGGCACUAGAUAACUACUUGAACGCCUUUGAAACCUGUAGGUUACAUAUUCUAGUGUCCCUAGUAAUGUGUUGACCGGCACAAGUGCCAUCUGUUAUCCCAAGGACAUGAGACAUCAUAUAAUAACAAUUUCUUAUGUAGUAAUUUGAUUAUUCUUUUGCUUUCAAUCCAUUUAUUUUAUAUGAAUUAUAGGACCUUUAGUUGUCUAAUAACCCUGAAUCCGUUGGUACGCUUGAUUUUUUGGGGUAACUCUUAAUCCAAAUUUAUGUCUGUCGCAUAUUUCUAAGACUUUCAUGGAUGCCAUGAAUUAGGGCUGUGUCUCUGUUGAUUAUGUCAAUUUGAUUUACUGGUAGCUGUUUUUUGUGGCUUUCAAUAUUUGUACCAGUGUAUUAAUUUUUUUUAGUACCAGUGUAUUAAUUUUUUUUAGCUUACAUGUCGGGGGAAGUAUUUCAGUCUGUAUAUUACUUGCCUGUGAUUGGAUUCAUUUAUUUUCAGCAUGCUUACUUUGUUUUCGUUUAUUCCUUUGGGUUCUGGAAAAAAAAAAAAAUUGUUCUUGUUUUUGGUUUUAUCACUUUAUGUAAAGCUAACUAUGCUAAGUUAUUUUUUUUUUUUUGGUCUUUCGCAUUCCUAGUUUAUUUUCAGUGUUUUUGGAGUUUUAUGAGGAAUAUCUAUUAUUAUUUAUUGCUUUUUUAUGGUGCGUAUGUACGACUGCUAUUGUCCUUUUGGGAACGCUAGAUAAAGGCUUGUCAAUACGUCACACACAUUUUUGGGGAAUGAAUUACAACAAGACCUGCAGGAAGAAAAGGCGCUGAAGAUAGAAUGAAGGUCCGUAAGUGGAAGGGAUCGUAGAUAUCCACUUAUUUUAGACCUGGCAUAGAUAGCUUGGGAAUGAAGCCAAAAGAAAUAGUGCUUGGGCACUAGAUAACUACUUAGCGCCUUAGAAACCUGUAGCUUACAUGUUGUAGCGUCCCUAAUGUGUCGACUGCUACCUGUCAUGCCACGUAAAAGAACAUGAUGUCAAACGUUAUAAUAAUUAUCUCUAUAAUAAAUACUUUUGUGUCUUCUUUUAUAAUUGAACACUUAUUCUUUGGUUACGGUUGAAUUUAUUUGCUUCAUACAUGCUUAAUUCAUUUUUUAUAGGAUAUACAUCGAUUUUGAUUAUUUUCUUAUUUGUGUUCUUAUUUUUCUUUUGCUAUCCUUAUCUUUGACUGUAAUUGUCCUUUCGGAUAAAGGCUUGCAGAAACAAAUGCACAAUCGCACACAUUGUUGGGGAAUGAAUUAGAACAAUAUCUGCAGAAAGAAAAAGGCGCUUAAGAUAGAAUGAAGGUCCGUAAGUGGAAGGGAUCAUAGAUAUCCACUUUUUUAGACCUGGCAUUGAUGGCUUGGGAAUGAAGCCAAGAGAAAUAGACAAAUAGUGCUUGGGCACUAGAUAACUACUUAGCGCCUUUGAAACCUGUAGCUUACAUGUUCUAGCGUCCCUAGUAAUGUGUGGACUGCUAUCUGUCAUGCCACGUAAAAGGACAUGAUGUCAUUCGUUAUAGUAAUUAUCCUUAUAAUAAAUACUUUUGUGUCUUGUUUUAUAAUUAAACACUUAUUCUUUGCAUACGAUUGACUUUAUUUGCUUCAUACAUGCUUAAUUCAUUUUUUAUAGGACAUACAUCGAUUUUGAUUAUUUUCUUAUUUGUGUUCCUAUUUUUCUUUUUCUAUCCUUAUCUCUGACUUUAAUUGUCCUUUUGGAUAAAGGCUUGCAGACACACGCACAGUCACAGACAUUGUUGGGGAAUGAAUUAGAACAAUACCUGCAGAAGUAAAAGGCACUGAUAGAAGGAAGGUUCGUAAGUGGAAGGGAUCAUAGAUAUCCGCUUUUUAAUGGAGCCUAGUGCAAGCACUAGAUAACUACAUCAGCGCCUUUGAAACCUGUAGGCCACAUGAUCUAGCUUCCUUAGUAAUGUGUUGACUGGGCCAAGUGCCAUCUGUUAUGCCACGUAAAAGGACAUGAGCCGUCAGACUUUAUAGUAAUUCUCACUUUAUAAAUAAUUUUCUCUGC